rnacentral:rRNA from 1 species
UCGGGAAUUUUGGGCAAUGGGCGAAAGCCUGACCCAGCAACGCCGCGUGAAGGAUGAAGUAUUUCGGUAUGUAAACUUCGAAAGAAUAGGAAGAAUAAAUGACGGUACUAUUUGUAAGGUCCGGCUAACUACGUGCCAGCAGCCGCGGUAAUACGUAGGGACCAAGCGUUGUUCGGAUUUACUGGGCGUAAAGGGCGCGUAGGCGGCGUGGUAAGUCAUCUGUGAAAUCUCCGAGCUUAACUCGGAACGGUCAGAUGAUACUGCUGUGCUAGAGUACAGAAAGGGCAAUCGGAAUUCUUGGUGUAGCGGUGAAAUGCGUAGAUAUCAAGAGGAACACCUGAGGCGAAGGCGGGUUGCUAGGCUGGUACUGACACUGAGGUGCGAAAGCGUGGGGAGCAAACAGGAUUAGAUACCCUCGUAGUCCCUGAGCGGGCUGGCAAGGCGCAU